GUCCACGCUGUAAACGAUGAAUACUAGGUGUUGGGGCCGUUAGGCCUCGGUGCCGCAGUUAACGCAAUAAGUAUUCCACCUGGGGAGUACGACCGCAAGGUUGAAACUCAAAGGAAUUGACGGGGCCCGCACAAGCGGUGGAGCAUGUGGAUUAAUUCGACGCAACGCGAAGAACCUUACCAGGUCUUGACAUCCCUCUGAAUACAGUAGAGAUACGGUAGGCCUUCGGGACAGAGGAGACAGGUGGUGCAUGGUUGUCGU
rnacentral:rRNA from 1 species